UCCUUAGAUGUUCUGGGCCGCACGCGUGCUACACUGAGUGGAUCAGCGGGUCAGGUUGCGCGAAAGUGUUUCCUAAUCUUGAAAUCCGCUCGUGAUGGGGAUUGACGGUUGCAAUUUUCCGUCAUGAACGAGGAAUACCUUGUAAGCGCGGGUCAUCAUCCCGCGCUGAAUACGUCCCUGCCCUUUGUACACACCGCCCGUCGCUCCUACCGAUUGAGUGGUCCGGUGAGGCUUUGGGAUCUGAGCGGAAAGAGCGUUUCGCUGUUUCUGCUCGGAAAACUCAGUCGAACCUUAUCAUUUAGAGGAAGGAGAAGUCGUAACA
rnacentral:rRNA from 1 species